GUGCCAGCCGCCGCGGUAAUACGGAGGGUGCAAGCGUUGUCCGGAAUCACUGGGCGUAAAGGGUGCGCAGGCGGGGCAGCAAGUCGGAGGUGAAAGCCCAUGGCUCAACCAUGGAAGUGCCUUCGAAACUGUUGCUCUUGAGUCCCGGAGAGGCUGUCGGAAUUUUUGGUGUAGCGGUGAAAUGCGUAGAUAUCACGAGGAACACCAGAGGCGAAAGCGGACAGCUGGACGGUUACUGACGCUCAGUCACGAAAGCGUGGGGAGCAAACAGGAUUAGAUACCCGAGUAGUCC
rnacentral:rRNA from 1 species